AGCGGGAAGUAGUUUACUACUUUGCCGGCGAGCGGCGGACGGGUGAGUAAUGUCUGGGAAACUGCCUGAUGGAGGGGGAUAACUACUGGAAACGGUAGCUAAUACCGCAUAACGUCUUCGGACCAAAGUGGGGGACCUUCGGGCCUCACGCCAUCGGAUGUGCCCAGAUGGGAUUAGCUAGUAGGUGGGGUAAUGGCUCACCUAGGCGACGAUCCCUAGCUGGUCUGAGAGGAUGACCAGCCACACUGGAACUGAGACACGGUCCAGACUCCUACGGGAGGCAGCAGUGGGGAAUAUUGCACAAUGGGCGCAAGCCUGAUGCAGCCAUGCCGCGUGUGUGAAGAAGGCCUUCGGGUUGUAAAGCACUUUCAGCGAGGAGGAAGGCCAAUAACUUAAUGCGUUGUUGGAUUGACGUUACUCGCAGAAGAAGCACCGGCUAACUCCGUGCCAGCAGCCGCGGUAAUACGGAGGGUGCAAGCGUUAAUCGGAAUUACUGGGCGUAAAGCGCACGCAGGCGGUUUGUUAAGUCAGAUGUGAAAUCCCCGCGCUUAACGUGGGAACUGCAUUUGAAACUGGCAAGCUAGAGUCUUGUAGAGGGGGGUAGAAUUCCAGGUGUAGCGGUGAAAUGCGUAGAGAUCUGGAGGAAUACCGGUGGCGAAGGCGGCCCCCUGGACAAAGACUGACGCUCAGGUGCGAAAGCGUGGGGAGCAAACA
rnacentral:rRNA from 1 species